rnacentral:rRNA from 2 species
GAUCUUCUCCUUCAUGGGAGAUGAUUGAAAGAUGGUUUCGGCUAGAUCACUUACAGAUGGGCCCGCGGUGCAUUAGCUAGUUGGUGAGGUAACGGCUCAAAUCCAAGGCAACGAUGCAUAGCCGACCUGAGAGGGUGAUCGGCCACACUGGGACUGAGACACGGCCCAGACUCCUACGGGAGGCAGCAGUAGGGAAUCUUCCGCAAUGGAUCGAAAGUCUGACGGAGCAACGCCGCGUGAGUGAUGAAGGCUUUCGGGUCGUAAAACUCUUGUUGUUAGGGAAGAACAAGUACAAGAGUAACUGCUUGUACCUUGACGGUACCUAACCAGAGGAAGCCACGGCUAACUACGUGCCAGCAGCCGCGGUAAUACGUAGGUGGCAAGCGUUAUCCGGAAUUAUUGGGCGUAAAGCGCGCGCAGGCGGUUUCUUAAGUCUGAUGUGAAAGCCCACGGCUCAACCGUGGAGGGUCAUUGGAAACUGGGGAACUUGAGUGCAGAAGAGCUAAAAAGCGGAAUUCCACGUGUAGCGGUGAAAUGCGUAGAGAUGUGGAGGAACACCAGUGGCGAAUGCGGCUUUUUGGUCUGUAACUGACGCU